ACUGCGACAGCAAGCUAGGAGACAAUAUUGUACUUCCGCAUGUGAGCUUCUCCUUCCCAGCUGGGCACAGGUCUUGACAUGUUCCUGGUUAAUUCACACCCUGGAGGCCAGACUGCAAAUGGAACCUGCUUGCCGGACUGUCUCUUUGCUGAAGAUGACAGUAUGAGAGCCACCGGAUGAGCAAGAGCCUGAAGUGGGGUGAACACUAAGUGUAGACCGGGGCUGGUGGAACAGGACAGGCUGGAGAGAAAGACUAGAGCGGGGUUCUCUUGUCCGUUGCUCACAGGACCGCGAGCCCGAGCAUGCGCACGUGGCUGGUGGGGUUCCCACAUCAUUUAUCCUGUUCCCAAGCAGGCACGGAACACCUCAGGGAUUAGUCCACUACCACACCCCCAUUCCUCUCAGACAUUCGCCUUCGUGUUUUGGCUCCCUCUCCUUUCUGACGAGAGCAUCUCAGGUUCCUGGCGAUAUAAGCGUGUGUGGAGACACAGGGCCAGGAAUUAGAGACCGCAGCCUGGUCUCUAAUGGGCACAGGUAGGGACCUGCUCUCCAAUGGUCUACUUUCUUCAGCUAGAACAAACUUUACAAAGUUCCACAGCCUCCCAAAGCAGCACCAUGCAACCGUGAGCUUGUGGAACAUUUCAGAUUCUUCGAUGUUUUCAUCGUCUGGACCAAAUUCCCGACCAGCUGGAACGUCAGGAGUGAAGCAUAGGAACCCAGGCCAGACUGACUUCAGCUGCGGCGCCCUCAGAUCAGCCAGGUUGGGAAGGACUCAGCGCAGUCUGCCAGACUCAUAACCAAACUUCAAUAGUUGGUAAAGCCAGUCAAGGACCAAGCCUUGUCUUAUACAACCGAGAUUUCCAUCUUCUCGUUUAAACGCAUCAGAUGUGCUGGUGCACACUUGCAAUCUCAGCACCUGGGAAGCAGAGGCAAGAAGAUCAUACCUGGAAGUCAGCCGGAGCUUCAUGUAGCCAGACCCUGUCUCAAAACAAGAAAACACCAGAAGCUACAAUAUCAACGUUUGGCGUGAAUUAACUGUAUGCAACAUUGAGUGCACAUGAGAGUGACGGAGUCUUUGGUAGCUUGGGUGAGAACGCAUCUCGCAAUCAGCAUGAGAAACCCAGAAGCCAGGAACUGGGGUCCUGAGAAUGGUGUCAGCAUCAAGGGAACAUGGGAAGGACAGAAUGCUGCUGACAUGACUUCUCCCAGGCCAAUGGCCAGCCAUCCUGCCGGUGUGAACAACAGACUCGCACCCCUGCGGAAUACAGCACUAGGGAGGCAGAGACAGGUUGGAGGCCAUCCUGGUCUACAGAGCAAGUUCCAGGACAGCCUCCAAAAUAAUACAGAGGAACCCUGUCUUAAAAAAAAAAAUUGUCUGUCAUUAAUUUCAAUCAAUUGGAUUAAGGUAAGAGAAUGUGAAUGAUAUAGUUAAAUGGAUUUAAUCCUUGUCAAAUACCAAAAUCAUUUUUCAAUAAAAAAGAAAA